CUCUGAUCCAGGCUCUGAUAGGCCGCAGACUUCCCUUGGAAUGAAGGGAAUGCUCCGUGUCCUCAUGGCCAGUCCCCAGUCAGUUUGGGUGCUCUCCUUUCAGUGCUCCUUGGACCCUGUCUGUGCCAGGCAGCAGCCCCUCACACAAGGCCCAGCUCCCUUCCAGAGGGUCAGCCAUGCCCCUGGAGGUCUGGAUCCUGCGCUCUGCCCUCAGCCUGCUCCUGCUGCUGUCUGCCCCCAUCAUCACCCUCCUCCUGGAGAGAUGCAGCCAAUGUGCCAGUGUGGCCAGGCAGCCUGGAGACUUCCUUGUCCCCGUGGUGCUCUGAUGUCCCCCUGGGCUCCAUGCUGUCCCCCGUUUGCUCCCCCAUGCUCAGAGCAUGACCCCCACACAUUUGUCAGACUCCCGCUGCUGUUGGGUUCAAGACAGCUGUGGCAGCAUGCCCAAGGGAUGUGCUGCCACUGCUCUGCUUCCCUUGGCUCAGCGCCUUCCUUCGAGGAAGAGAAUUGAGAGAGCAGCAUGGGGGAGCUCAGGUGCCUUCAGGACAAAGCCUCUGCCUUUCCUGGUUGUUGUGUGGUCGCACGAGGGUCAAAGUGUGGGUGCAGAUGGCUCCCACAGUGCUGUGCUGGCAGCACUAUGGCCCCACCUGAGACUUCCUGAGAGUUCUUCAUAAGCUGAUUCACCAAAAGGAUGAAGGAAAAAUCUGCCCACAGCCUUGGCAGAUGCCCUUAGAGCUCUGAAGUCACUUUGGCCUUGGUGCAGGAUUCCCCAGAUUCCAUAAUUUGUGCAGAC